UCUUCUUCUUCUUCUUCUUCUUUUUUUUUUUUUUUAUGUGAUAUUGGUAGUUUGAGAUUGGAUUCUCCAUGAAAUAACAGAUUUAGAGAUAUUCUUCUCCAUGAAUUCACAGAUCAGAGAUAUUCCAUGUUAUAUGCAGUUUGAAGAAGAAUAUUUUUGCAGAUUUAUGCGGGCGCGUUGAAUUAUUAAGAACUCGAGAAUGAUAAAUGUUUUUUAUAUUGGCCAAAUUUGUAUAAUAUUACAUGUAUACUAACAUGUAUAUUGAAUUAAACAGGAUUCAAAAAAUUAUAAAAGAAUUCGUCUAAUAAAUAAAGCAAUACAACUAGUAGUUCUCACAAAAUUAUUAAUCUACCAUUAAUCAGAUAUUACAAAGAAUCCACCAUCUCUUCAAUGUCCUUAUUUGAAUUGCAAAAUUGACAA
rnacentral:lncRNA from 1 species